AUGGCACGCACUGUGACUUAUUUCCUCUUCGCCAACGACUCUAUACCUCUGUUCGAGGCAACGGAGGAUGGGGCGAAUGAAAUCGGUCGUAUCCUACAAGUAUAUGAAGCGGGGUCUAGUAAGUUGGUGAACCGAGACAAGUCGUCAUUUAUGUUCAGCAGAAAUACCAAGGCCACUGUAAAGAAUGUGAUUAUGCAUACUCUCGGCCUACAACAGGAAACAUCGAAUGGGAAGUACCUCGGUCUUCCUACAUACAUUGGCCGCUCAGUCAUGCAAUGUUUUGAGGAUGUUAAGGAGCGUUUGUGGGCAAGGAUUCAAGGAUGUUUGGAACACUUCCUGUCGAUGCAAGGCAAGGAAAUCAUGGUGAAGGCAGUGGCGCAAGCAAUCCCCGCGCAUGCUAUGGGUUGUUUCGACCUCACCAAGGGCAUGUGUGAAGAGCUUAGCAAUAUGAUAUGCAAAUACUGGUGGUCACAGCAGCAGGAUGAGAAGAAGAUGCAUUGGGUUGGAUGGGAAAAGAUGAAGUUACCCAAAGAAGAGGGUGGGCUAGGGUUCAGAUAUCUACACCCUUUCAACAUGGCCAUGUUGGCAUGA
rnacentral:rRNA from 1 species